CUUCCAAGAAUGUUUCCAUUAAUCAAGAACGAAAGUUAGAGGUUCGAAGGCGAUCAGAUACCGCCCUAGUUCUAACCAUAAACGAUGCCAGCCAGCGAUCCGGCUGUGUUCCUCAAAUGACACGCCGGGCAGCUUCCGGGAAACCAAAGCUUUUGGGUUCCGGGGGAAGUAUGGUUGCAAAGCUGAAACUUAAAGGAAUUGACGGAAGGGCACCACCAGGAAUGGAGCUUGCGGUUUAAUUUGACUCAACACGGGACAACCUACCCGGCCCGGACACAGGAAGGAUUGACAGAUUAAGAGCUCUUUCUUGAUUCUGUGGGUGGUGGUGCAUGGCCGUUCUUAGUUGGUGGACUGAUUUGUCUGGUUAAUUCCGUUAACGAACGAGACUCUAGCCUACUAAAUAGACGUUCCGAUUAUUUAUUUUUCGGACGUUCUUCUUAGAGGGACAAUCGGCGCUUAGCCCGAUGAGACAGAGCAAUAACAGGUCUGUUAUGCCCUUUGAUGUCCGGGGCCACACGCGUGCUACAUUGAAGGAAUCAGCGUGUGCUUUCCCUGUCCGACAGGACUGGGUAACCCGUUGAACCUCCUUCGUGCUGGGGAUAGGGGCUUGUAAUUAUUCCCCUUGAACGAGGAAUUCCUAGUAAGCGCGAAUCAUCAGUUCGUGUUGACUAAGUCCCUGCCCUUUGUCCACACCGCCCGUCGCUACUACCGAUUGAAUGAUUUAGUGAGGUCUUCGGACUGGCGCUCGGAGCGGCCUUCGGGUCGCGCCGGCGUGCCGGAAAGAUGACCAAACUUGAUCAUUUAGAGGAAGUAAAAGUCGUAACGAAGGUUUCCGUAGGUGACGGGG
rnacentral:rRNA from 1 species